AGUGAACGCUGGCGGUAGGCCUAACACAUGCAAGUCGAACGGCAGCACAGUAAGAGCUUGCUCUUACGGGUGGCGAGUGGCGGACGGGUGAGGAAUACAUCGGAAUCUACUUUUUCGUGGGGGAUAACGUAGGGAAACUUACGCUAAUACCGCAUACGACCUACGGGUGAAAGCAGGGGAUCUUCGGACCUUGCGCGAUUGAAUGAGCCGAUGUCGGAUUAGCUAGUUGGCGGGGUAAAGGCCCACCAAGGCGACGAUCCGUAGCUGGUCUGAGAGGAUGAUCAGCCACACUGGAACUGAGACACGGUCCAGACUCCUACGGGAGGCAGCAGUGGGGAAUAUUGGACAAUGGGCGCAAGCCUGAUCCAGCCAUACCGCGUGGGUGAAGAAAGCCUUCGGGUUGUAAAGCCCUUUUGUUGGGAAAGAAAUCCAGCCGGCUAAUACCUGGUUGGGAUGACGGUACCCAAAGAAUAAGCACCGGCUAACUUCGUG
rnacentral:rRNA from 1 species